rnacentral:lncRNA from 1 species
AAGGAAAACAUUGGCAGCAUGAAUUAUUGCCAAUACCAACUGUUGAGAAAAAGACAAACAGUGAGGCAGAUUUCAACAAACUAGAGAUUAAAAGCGUGCCUCUGGAUUGUGUUAAUGGCCUCCUGCUGCUUCAGCUUGCUGUGUAGGGAAGGGCUGGAGCUGUGUGGGAAGGGAUGGACUAGUUGUUACCUUUAAUGGCUUUCUUUAUCUAUCACAAGGAUUGAAAGUGUUGUUUUGAAAAUUGGAAGCCGAUGGUCUUACUCAGUCCUCUGUCUUCAGGACCUGCAGUAAAAGAUUUAAAGAUAUUUAACCACUGGAUGAAAUGUGCCUGGGCACCCCGACAGAGACCAGAAAUGCACAAUAAAGAACAAUGCUUCUGUCGUGAAGUUAUUUACAGUGUAUAAACUUGGAGCUCAAUGAGGUAAAUGGGGAAGCUGGAAUUCACAAACAUCACUGCAAAUCCCAUCAACAGUUAAAGACAACAGGUCUGAAACGCUCCUCAGUGUGUAUGAAACUGACUGUGCAAACACUAAACAGUCACUUUGGGUAAAAUGACAUUUGCAACUUAGAGGCAAGGAUAGUUACAGAAAUUAUUCCAUUUGAGCAAAUUCACCUUUACCAGAAAGACCCUACUGAGUCAUUUGAAACUUCAUAUCUGACAAGGGAGUGGGAAAACCAGCUAAGAGCACCCUGAAGCAACCAGGAUCUCUUGGUCAAGUGCAAGAGCUGGGUUGUAACAACAAAAGGGGCUGCUACGUGGCAACUGAUGAGAAGCAGGAGCGUGUUUGGCUUACAGCAGCACUAAAGUAAACAGGAAAUUGCACACAGAAUCUGACCCUCCCUUCAGCCUGUUUUUUGAAGAAUUAGCAGAUUCUUGUCUCUGAGCAUAAGGCAGUUUUUUCAGCCUUCCAUUCAUCUUGGUGGCUCUUUGCUGCAGGCUCCGUACCCUUUCAAGUCCCCGUGAAAAUCAGGAUACCAGAAUUACUUGCUGGUGUCUAUGUUGACAACUGAGCUAAAUUUAAUUUUCUGCUCCUCUGAUUAUAUACCCAGGAUCUAGGCUGCUGGCACUGCCCCAGGUAACUGCUGCUCCUUGUCUGGUGUCACCUCUCAAGCUGCCAUAAGGGAGUUGUUGUUCCUGAAGAUCCUGUUGCCUACCCCAUGACGAUGGCCUGGCUUUUGUCUUGUUGUGGUUCUUUGAUGUGCAACCUCAUUUGGCUAUGGCAUCACAGCACAUUUUGGCUGUAACCCCACACCCGAUGGAGGGCACACCCAGAACUGCUCAUGGAUUCUCCAGUCUGGAGAUGAGGGUUGAAGCACAGGUUCACUGAGUGAUGGAAGUUGUUCUGCAUCACUGUCCCUUCCUCAUCAUUGUGAACCUCUUCA